AUGUUCACUGUUAUAUUCAUGUGUCUGUGGCUUUCACUAGGUGACUCCAUGGCAGAUUCAAUAAAGCCACUUUUCCCUCAUAAAGUUGUAGAUGAAGGUGAUGAUGUUACUCUGUCCUGCAGCUACAAAGACUUCAGAGGUAUUGUACAGACUCUGCAGUGGUACAGGCAAUAUCCAAAAUCUAAACCUGAGUUCCUUCUUUAUAUUUAUCAAAAUGGAGAUCUAAGUCCCAACACUCCCCCAAGAAUGUCUGCUAAAGUUCAUGAUGAUAAGAAAGUGGAUCUGAUCGUCUCCUCUGCUGCUGUAUCAGACUCUGCUCUAUACUACUGUGCUCUGAGGGCCACAGUGACAGGAAAUCCAGCUGCACUGUACAAAAACUUUCACACAGUUUUGUUAUAUUGA